GUUUUAAUUUGUAUGCUGUUCGACUUUUGUUUGGGAUAUUAUUGAAAGAGCAUUUUAAAAUUUAAUUCUUUUGAACUGUGCUUAAAACUCUGUUUCAACACAUCAAGAACCCUCAUUUCCUCUUCAAACGGUUUCCGAGCUAAUCAUGGACAUCAGCGAAUCCAUUGUCGCGAGAUUAAAACAAAAGGGUGAUUAGAUUUCCUAAACGCAGAACCAGAAGAAUCCCGGAAGAAACAGCUGUUUUUUUUUUCUUGUAUUUUUUUGGGUUGAAUCAGGAGAAAGUGUGAUCGAGUAGGCAUCGUUUCAUGGCUGGGUACAAACCCGAUGGUCUUGAUCGGUGACUCAGGUGUGGGAAAGUCGAACUUGCUCUCUAGAUUUACGAGGAACGAGUUCAAUCUAAAAUCCAAGCCAACUAUCGGUGUUGAGUUCGCGGCCAGAACUCUUAAAAUCGAUGUCCUCCACUUGGUUGUACAUAUCGUCUUCUCCACAUGUUCCAACGAUUUUCAUCUAAGCUUCAUUCUUGUAUGCUUCCAUGGCGCCUCACAGCCUGUUGCACAUGUAAAGGAAACAUAACCUGCAUUUUGAUUGCAGAAAGAGUGUAGGAUAUCAUAUCUGUAUACUGGGAUAAUGUUUUUUUAGAUGUAUACACACAAAAAAUGGGACAAGAAAACUCUGUUCUUCAUUUCUUGUCUGGUCAUUAACCACACCCCUAGAACUCUGAAACCUCUGACAGAUGCCGAACAAGGCAACAAGUGUGCAUCUUCUUCACCCUUGUGUCAGUCAAAACAGAAGACGGGAAAGCGUUUGACAAGAUAGAUGGAAUCACUCUGUUUCAUGGAGAGGCUUCAGCUUUGGAUGUCAACCAACGGUUGAGGGAAGCCUUCACUGAAGUGCCUUGUUCAGAUUCACAACGCCGAAGGGGCUGGCUGCUUCAUCUGGUUUGCCUUCUAAAGGGGAGAGAGAGAGAGAGAGAGAGCAUAAACGUUACAGAACAAAGACAGGUCUCUAACUCUGCUCAUGAGAUUCAGUUCCUGUUCUAAUUAGACAUGUGAUUUGAUAUUGUGGGAUUUGGGUUUUGUGUACAUAAUUAUUUUUUGUAUAAAAUGAUUUUACUUUCUUGUUUUAAAUUUUA